rnacentral:rRNA from 1 species
AUUGAACGCUGGCGGCAGGCCUAACACAUGCAAGUCGAACGAGUGGCGGACGGGUGAGUAAUGUCUGGGAAACUGCCUGAUGGAGGGGGAUAACUACUGGAAACGGUAGCUAAUACCGCAUACCAUCAGAUGUGCCCAGAUGGGAUUAGCUUGUUGGUGGGGUAACGGCGCACUAAGGCGACGAUCCCUAGCUGGUCUGAGAGGAUGACCAGCAACACGGGAACGGAGACACGGUCCAGGUUCCGACGGGAGGCAGCAGUGGGGAAUAUUGCACAAUGGGCGCAAGCCUGAUGCAGCCAUGCCGCGUGUAAGAAGAAGGCCUUCGGGGUGUAAAGUACUGUCAGCGGGGAGGCGUUACCCGCAGAAGAAGCACCGGCUAACGCCGUGCCAGCCGCCGCGGUAAUUC